rnacentral:rRNA from 1 species
AACGAACGCUGGCGGCAGGCCUAACACAUGCAAGUCGAACGCCCUAGCAAUAGGGAGUGGCAGACGGGUGAGUAACACGUGGGAACCUUCCCUAUAGUAUGGAAUAGCCCAGGGAAACUUGGAGUAAUACCGUAUACGCCCGAGAGGGAAAGAUUUAUCGCUAUAGGAUGGGCCCGCGUAGGAUUAGCUAGUUGGUGAGGUAAUGGCUCACCAAGGCGACGAUCCUUAGCUGGUCUGAGAGGACGACCAGCCACACUGGGACUGAGACACGGCCCAGACUCCUACGGGAGGCAGCAGUGGGGAAUAUUGGACAAUGGGCGCAAGCCUGAUCCAGCCAUGCCGCGUGAGUGAUGAAGGCCUUAGGGUUGUAAAGCUCUUUUGCCGGGGACGAUAAUGACGGUACCCGGAGAAUAAGUCCCGGCUAACUUCGUG